GACGAACGCUGGCGGCGUGCCUAAAACAUGCAAGUCGAACGAGGUCUUCGGACCUAGUGGCGAACGGCGGAGUAAUACAUAUGUAACGUGCCUCGAAGAUUGGGAUAGUCCCGGGAAACUGGGUUUAAUACCAAAUGUGGUCGGGAGGUGGCAUCAUCACCCGAUUAAAUGGUUUUUCGCUUCGAGAGCGGCUUAUGGGCUAUCAGCUAGUUGGUGAGGUAAUGGCUCACCAAGGCGACGACGGCUAGGGGGUCUGAGAGGAUGAUCCCCCCGAGAGGGACUGAGACACGGCCCUCACACCUACGGGUGGCAGCAGUUGGGAAUCGUUGUCAAUGGGGGAAACCCUGAACACGCGACGCCGCGUGGUGGAUGAAGGCCUUAGGGUUGUAAACACCUUUUGCACGGAAAGACUUAGGACGGUACCGUGCGAAUAAGCUCCGGCUAACUACGUG
rnacentral:rRNA from 1 species